UGGGGGCGGCAGACUACACAUGCAGUCGAGCGAGAUGAAGGGAGCUUGCUCCUGGAUUCAGCGGCGGACGGGUGAGUAAUGCCUAGGAAUCUGCCUGGUAGUGGGGGAUAACGUCCGGAAACGGGCGCUAAUACCGCAUACGUCCUGAGGGAGAAAGUGGGGGAUCUUCGGACCUCACGCUAUCAGAUGAGCCUAGGUCGGAUUAGCUAGUUGGUGGGGUAAAGGCCUACCAAGGCGACGAUCCGUAACUGGUCUGAGAGGAUGAUCAGUCACACUGGAACUGAGACACGGUCCAGACUCCUACGGGAGGCAGCAGUGGGGAAUAUUGGACAAUGGGCGAAAGCCUGAUCCAGCCAUGCCGCGUGUGUGAAGAAGGUCUUCGGAUUGUAAAGCACUUUAAGUUGGGAGGAAGGGCAGUAAGUUAAUACCUUGCUGUUUUGACGUUACCAACAGAAUAAGCACCGGCUAACUUCGUGCCAGCAGCCGCGGUAAUACGAAGGGUGCAAGCGUUAAUCGGAAUUACUGGGCGUAAAGCGCGCGUAGGUGGUUCAGCAAGUUGGAUGUGAAAUCCCCGGGCUCAACCUGGGAACUGCAUCCAAAACUACUGAGCUAGAGUACGGUAGAGGGUGGUGGAAUUUCCUGUGUAGCGGUGAAAUGCGUAGAUAUAGGAAGGAACACCAGUGGCGAAGGCGACCACCUGGACUGAUACUGACACUGAGGUGCGAAAGCGUGGGGAGCAAACAGGAUUAGAUACCC
rnacentral:rRNA from 1 species